AACGAACGCUGGCGGCAGGCUUAACACAUGCAAGUCGAGCGCCCCGCAAGGGGAGCGGCAGACGGGUGAGUAACGCGUGGGAAUCUACCCAUCUCUGCGGAAUAACGCAUGGAAACGUGUGCUAAUACCGUAUACGUCCUUCGGGAGAAAGAUUUAUCGGAGAUGGAUGAGCCCGCGUUGGAUUAGCUAGUUGGUGGGGUAAAGGCUUACCAAGGCGACGAUCCAUAGCUGGUCUGAGAGGAUGAUCAGCCACACGGGGACUGAGACACGGCCCAGACUCCUACGGGAGGCAGCAGUGGGGAAAAUUGGACGAUGGGCGCAAGCCUGAUCCAGCCAUGCCGCGUGAGUGAUGAAGGCCCUAGGGUUGUAAAGCUCUUUCACCGGUGAAGAUAAUGACGGUAACCGGAGAAGAAGCCCCGGCUAACUUCGUGCCAGCAGCCGCAGUAACAC
rnacentral:rRNA from 1 species